GGGCUCGUAGUCUAACGGCAGGACAUCGCGUUCGCAGCGCGAAGGUGCGGGUUCAAUUCCCGCCGAGUCCA
rnacentral:tRNA from 1 species